ACGGUGAGGGAUGAAAGCUGGGGGAGCAAACCGGAUUAGAUACCCGGGUAGUCCCAGCUGUAAACUAUGCAAACUCAGUGAUGCAUUGGCUUGUGGCCAAUGCAGUGCUGCAGGGAAGCCGUUAAGUUUGCCGCCUGGGAAGUACGUACGCAAGUAUGAGACUUAAAGGAAUUGGCGGGGGAGCACCACAAGGGGUGAAGCCUGCGGUUCAAUUGGAGUCAACGCCU
rnacentral:rRNA from 1 species